GCCCUGCUAGCUCAAUCGGUAGAGUGUGAGACUUUUACAAUUAAUCCUCACAUGUAGACAACAGCAUUAAGUAUUAAUCUCAAGGUUGCGGGUUCGACCCCCGCGUGAGGCU
rfam:Sphaerobolus stellatus SS14 unplaced genomic scaffold SPHSTscaffold_99, whole genome shotgun sequence.